AGUGGAAAUGCAAACACGCAUUUAAAUAAACCAUUUUAUAAAUUCCAGGUGCCGAUCUCAAGAGGGAAUCUUGCAUAUGCCAGAGGAAUAUGUUGUUUGAGGGAAAACCUGCUUAUAAAUCUGUGUAAAUUGAAAGAUUCUGAGGACAAACCUGUCAGUAACGAAUUGUUCCAGAAGUACACAAAGAAAGCUCUGCAUGGUAGAAGCUGUUUUUUUCUCAGGUACAGCACAUCCCUGCCCCUCCUUGGCAUCAGUUGUUGCAAAUACCUUGUAGCCAUCACACCUUUGCUGCUCAGAGCUUUGAGGAGCAUUGAAAGUACAGAGAGAAAUGCAUGGUGUGCCUGCAUAAUGGGUAAAUUGGAUGUUUCACUAGUGGGAAAUAAUUGCCUUCAUUUGAGGGCUCUUUGCCUGUUCCAGAGGAUUGUUCCCCAGAUCUCUUCCCUCCUCAGUGCAGCUAAACAAAGCACAGGAAGGAAUGUGAAGUACUGUUAUCAGUGUAGGAAUCUUUUCAGUAAUGGUUUAUUAUUAUUUUCCUCCCAAAUGAUCCAAAUGCUUUUUUUUUUCUUGCUGUUUAUAUCAAGCCACCACAGACCUUCUGAUGAUGUUAAAUUCCAGCUGUGGAGGCUUUGAUUGUUUCUUGCACUUUGCUCAUUUUAAGAUGACCGAACUGUUCAGUGAGAGAAAUUCAGAUGGAAAAAUUCAGGCAGACAGGGCUGUGGGGAAGGUUGAACCCUGUGUAAAAAUCCAGUAAAACUUGAGUAAGAACCUCAGAGUUCAGUGUAUUGAUUUUCUUGUGAAAGUUUAAGAACUGUGUUUCCUUGCAGGCUGAAACUCAUCUCAGCUCCUCAUGACCAGCUGAGCAAGAGAGAUGGGGUUUGAUGCUAUCCAAGGUGUAAUUCCACAGUUCAUGUCUUCUGCUGGUGCCAGCUUAAUCAGUUUCUGCCCUCUCCCAGCCAUUCAUUCCCAGCUCAGCAGCAAUGCUGUGCCACCUCCUCCCUGACCCUGUGGAAAACCAGGUGACUGAAAACAACUUGGUCAAGGAAAGAAACUCUUCAUUUUUUCCCUUUGUAUUAGAAUCAUUUGAAUGAAUUUCAUGGCCCACAGGCAGUGGUGUUGGUGCUGCUGAAGGUGACGAGAAAUGCAGCAUCAGAGGCAGCAGUGAGCACUGGAGGGUGUCCCAGAGCUGUGUGAUCUUGCUGUCAACAAAAAUCUGCUCUGGGACCAUAUCCUGAAUUAAGGGCUUUCACUGGCCACAGGAUUAUUUAUUGAACUGCUGCUUUUCAUUUAUUUUAUUAAGGAAGAUUAACAUCUUCUCGUUAGGGCAGGUUUGUUUUUUUUUACUUGAGGAGAUAAACCAUCUCAGUGAGAAGUUAGUCAGCUUUGUGGACAGCCAUGAAUGUCAAUAAAGUCUUGGCAAACACAGUAGGUAUUUAUUCA
rnacentral:lncRNA from 1 species